CAUCCCUAAUGCGCCUUGAAAUGAGGAACUCAAAAGUCACGUGUAAAGAAAAAAUCUCUGUGUAGUGAUAUUGGACAUGUUUCUAUUUUUAGCAAAUGACUGAACUUAACUAUUUGUGGUGAUUAGAAAAGUAGAGGAACAUAGAAUAAAUGUGUAAAAACUAUGGAGCUAUUGAAUGUGUUCAAAGUAUUAAAUUUUCAAAGAACUUAUUGUGUUAAAAAGGGGAUAUUUUACCACAAGGAGCCGCAUCACAGCAGGAUGUUCGGGGUUUGCUAAUUUACGGAAAAAGUAAUCUCACUUCGUACCCCGAAAAUUUAACCACAUAUGUGAAAAUGUCACAGCUUCGAAACAAGCUAUCAUACAUAUCCAAGUUAACGACAUGGACUGAGCUACCGGAAAAAACGUUACCAUUACCGCCUAUGUAAAAACAAUUAAAGAUUUUGACCCAAAUUAGAAGCUCAAUUCCAGAGGUUGUCAGACUGAUUUAUGGAUGAAUUCACCUUGUACACCACCGAAAAUGAUGUUCCAGACAUAUCAUUAUUUUUCAACCUGAGAUGGCAAACUAGAGGUUUUAAAAAGUCCUGAAUAACUGAAAUGGACAAAAAUACAAAGAUUUAUUCAGAAUAUAAUACCGAUGAAGAUCACAUAAAAAUAUUUGGAAAAAUCAGAAGUAUGGAUUACAAUAUGGGACAACAUCCCUAAUGCGCCUUGAAAUGAGGAACUCAAAAGUCACGUGUAAAGAAAAAAUCUCUGUGUAGUGAUAUUGGACAUGUUUCUAUUUUUAGCAAAUGACUGAACUUAACUAUUUGUGGUGAUUAGAAAAGUAGAGGAACAUAGAAUAAAUGUGUAAAAACUAUGGAGCUAUUGAAUGUGUUCAAAGUAUUAAAUUUUCAAAGAACUUAUUGUGUUAAAAAGGGGAUAUUUUACCACAAGGAGCCGCAUCACAGCAGGAUGUUCGGGGUUUGCUAAUUUACGGAAAAAGUAAUCUCACUUCGUACCCCGAAAAUUUAACCACAUAUGUGAAAAUGUCACAGCUUCGAAACAAGCUAUCAUACAUAUCCAAGUUAACGACAUGGACUGAGCUACCGUAAAAAACGUUACCAUUACCGCCUAUGUAAAAACAAUUAAAGAUUUUGACCCAAAUUAGAAGCUCAAUUCCAGAGGUUGUCAGACUGAUUUAUGGAUGAAUUCACCUUGUACACCACCGAAA